GAAAUCAUAUGAAUCAUUUUAGUGAGGAAUGUGAUAACGUAAGGGAUAAAUAUGAUAUUACCUUACUAUUAGUGUUGUCCAAAACUGGUGCCAGAAGACUCGGUAAGGCCAGAGACGCAAACGUUAGUCAUCUUUAUCAGGCGUAAAGGGUCUGUAGGCUGCUUUAAAAGUUUAAACCUUUAUAAUAGCUCUUUUACUUAGGUCUCAGGUAAAGAAAAAUGAAUUAAAGCUAGAAUCAUAUGGGGGAUAAACCAAAUAAUGCUUAGAGUAGGGAUUAAAUCCAAAGAUACUAAGUGGAAUACUAAAGGUGAAAGCUAUUUUAUCUAUUAAUGAUUGACGCUGAGAAACGAAGGUGAGAAUAGGAAAAAGGAUUAGAUACCCAAAUACCUCUCACAGUCAACGAUGAAUGGUGGUUGUUAGUUUUAAAUAUAAACUGGUAACGAUGUUAACACGAUAACCAUUCCGCCUUGCGAGUACGGUUGCAAAACUGAAACCAAAAAAAUUAGUCGGUCU
rnacentral:rRNA from 1 species